AUACGUAGGGGGCAAGCGUUAUCCGGAUUUACUGGGUGUAAAGGGAGCGCAGACGGCGAUGCAAGUCUGAAGUGAAAUGCCGCAGCUCAACUGCGGAAUUGCUUUGGAAACUGUGUGGCUAGAGUAUCGGAGGGGUAAGCGGAAUUCCUAGUGUAGCGGUGAAAUGCGUAGAUAUUAGGAAGAACACCGGUGGCGAAGGCGGCUUACUGGACAAUAACUGACGUUGAGGCUCGAAAGCGUGGGGAGCAAACGAGAUUAGAUGCCCUGGUAGUCCACGCCGUAAACGAUGAAUACUAGGUGUCGGCAUCUAAGAGAUGUCGGUGCCGCCGCUAACGCAUUAAGUAUUCCACCUGGGGAGUACGUUCGCAAGAAUGAAACUCAAAGGAAUUGACGGGG
rnacentral:rRNA from 1 species